CCCUACGGGGGGCAGCAGUCGGAAAUAUUGCGCAAUGGAGGAAACUCUGACGCAGUGACGCCGCGUGCAGGAAGAAGGUUUUCGGGUUGUAAACUGCUUUAGACAGGGAGGAGACAAGACAGUACCUGUAGAAUAAGCUCCGGCUAACUACGUGCCAGCAGCCGCGGUAAUACGUAGGGAGCAAGCGUUAUCCGGAUUUAUUGGGUGUAAAGGGUGCGUAGACGGGAAAACAAGUUGGUUGUGAAAUCCCUCGGCUUAACUGAGGAACUGCAACCAAAACUAUUUUUCUUGAGUGCUGGAGAGGA
rnacentral:rRNA from 1 species